UAAUAGCAGUCUCAAAUCCUUUCUGGAAGGAGGCAGGGUUUAUAAAUAAACAGAAAAGAAAUACAACUGACUCAAACUGAAAUUUGUGGAUCUGGUUUGACGUGGCAGAUGUGUUUAAUAGAGCUUAAGAGAGAGAGAGCUGAGGAUACCCAUUAAAUUACCAAAUGAUUGAAAUUCUUGUUCAACAUUGUCUAAAAGAAUCCCAGUGUUGGAGACUUAUAAUAACCACGUGAUCGAUAAAUGAUUAUGAUGAUGUUCUGCAAAUGAGAGUAUAAAAUCACGUACUGGGAUUGAACCCGGAGCCUUGCACAUGCUAGCAAAGUUCUCUAUCUUAGAGCCAUACUUCUAUUCCCCAAUGUUUCCUUUGAUCACCAGUUGGGGCAUGGCAAAGUCAUUGGAACACCACUUCAUUGAUGGCAAAAUGGAGUGGAGCUAUUCACCCUUGUCAUCAGAGAUCCCAGUAAUGGUGGGCCCUCAAUAAACUUGAUUAUCUUUGUUUCCAAGCGGAGAGAGCUGGGACUGGAGCCAGAGUCUCGAGAGAAGUGAGUCAAGAGGCAGAGAUGGAGACCACCUGAUUCCCAAUCACACUGUUAGAUGGAAAAACAAAAAAAAAGCAACAACAAAAACUGUCAUGAGCCAUCCAUGCGUUGCGUGUGGGUCACCAUGCAUCAAAGCCUAGUGGAUAGAAACAUCUGGUGUCUGGGAAUGACCAGUGGACAAUUUCUCUGGUCAAUUGACAGUGUGAAUUUCUGUCCUGCUCUGCCGUGUCCCAUGCAGCACCUGAGAUGGGUGAUACAUGCCAAGAUGCCAAUCAAGUUGCUGACUGCAAGACAUCAGGAAGCAAGACUCUGCCCUUGAAACCUUAUCCCUGCCUUUGAUGUACCCCCUUAAAUAAACCACCAGAGCCAUCA